UACAUUAAGUUUGCUCACUCAAGGGAGUCUUGCUCAUCCCCUAUGAAAGGGGGUGGGAAAAUGACUGUUUACGAAUCAUUAAUGAUAAUGAUCAAUUUUGGCGGGUUGAUAUUAAAUACCGUCUUGUUGAUCUUCAAUAUAAUGAUGCUUGUAACGUCAAACCAAAAGAAAAAAUAGACCUCCCUUGAGACUGGAAUCCUGAAGGGUAAGGUCUAUCUAGAACAACACCGAGCAAGCCCUUUGACGGGCAGCUUUUUGUGCAAAUAGCGGCCUGUGGGUGUAAGCGCACCCCAG
rnacentral:sRNA from 2 species